rnacentral:lncRNA from 1 species
UGCGGAAUGAUAAAAAUAAUGUCCUUAAUGUGUAGCAAUUUUAUUACGAAGUUAAUGCAAUUUGAAAAGAGUGACACGGAGUUAAAACGAAUUAGUUAUGCAUUUUCUAAGGUUUUUAGAAUUAAUUUUUCAUAAAAAAUCAUUUUCGAAUAAAUUUUGUCGAUGAACAGAAUUUCAUGGACCGAAGCCACCAUUUCAUAAAAGACCAGGGUUUACUCUGCAAAUUACAGGACCUUGUUGAAAGGGUUUCUGACCUGGGCUGGACCGCGGGUUUAUUUGUAAAAAGUGUAGGGGCUCUUAUGCAACUAUGUUCGGCCGAAGUUCGGCCGAAGGGGUAUGUUUUCACUUGCACCGUUGGAUCAAAAACCAGUGGCUCGGAUUAUAUCGACCUUUUGUGAACUGAUAUGUAAAGCUAGACGUCGAUCCUGUGAUCGACGGUUUUGAUUUAAUGAUCGAAGCCGUUCUCGCAUUCUAAUACCCGUCAUCCGAUGUCGAUCGCUCGACCACCGCCUAUCUAGGCCAAAACAAUAUCAUAGUCGUUAUAAAUCCGAUCGACGGUGGAUACACAUCUCUUCUUCUAUGGUGUUUCAAGCGCGUGGAGCCAAGCUCGCACGGCGGCGUACAUGCCGGGGAGGAGCGGUGCCGCACCGCCGCGCGCCAAAGCCCAUCGCAUACCGGAAGAGGCAUGUAGGGUAGAUGAGGUCUCACCAUUGACCAUGUCGUAGAGACUUCCACCCACGGUGGACUGCGAACGAUGGCGAUUCCCAGUCGCUGAUGAGGAAUCUUGCUCGCCAUGAUCAUCCCUUACGCCCAAUCGUGCUGCAAAAGCUUCUGGUGCCCACCGGCGAACCUCCCCGACCAGACCCGACAGCGCAGCGAUGUUGAAUUGGAGUAUUCGCAUGCACCAAAGAUCCUGUUCUCUCCCUUCGCAACGGUGGUGGCUCGGUGCCCACGACGAGGAUAUGUGGCGG